rnacentral:rRNA from 1 species
UUCGAUGAUACGCGAGGAACCUUACCUGGGCUCAAAUGUAUGUUGACGUAUUCUGAAAGGGAUACUUCUUCGGACAAUAUACAAGGUGCUGCAUGGUUGUCGUCAGCUCGUGCCGUGAGGUGUCGGGUUAAGUCCCAUAACGAGCGCAACCCCUACCUUUAGUUGCCAUCAGGUUAAGCUGGGGACUCUAAAGGAACUGCCUACGCAAGUAGUGAGGAAGGCGGGGAUGACGUCAAAUCAGCACGGCCCUUACGUCCAGGGCUACACACGUGCUACAAUGGCCGAUACAGAGGGCAGCUACCUGGUGACAGGAUGACAAAUCUCCAAAGUCGGUCUCAGUUCGGAUCGGAGUCUGCAACCCGACUCCGUGAAGUUGGAUUCGCUAGUAAUCGCGCAUCAGCCAUGGCGCGGUGAAUACGUUCCCGGGCCUU